rnacentral:tRNA from 1 species
AAACUAAAAGUUUAAUAGCUAGGCGUUUAACAGGAGAGAAUAAUCCUUUUUAUAACAAAAGUCAUUCUA